AUUUUUCUCUAGGUAUUUAUAGCUUUGCGGGUGAACUUUUCCAGAAUUCCAUUUGUCGACUCCUUUCUCACCCUCGGGAUUGGUCGGCUCUUCUCUGGCGGCUGCGACGGGAGGCCCUUUCCACAGCCUGGGAGGCCAGAAGAGCAGUCUGCGGCUGCGCGGAGGACGGGUGCGUGGAGCGGAAGGCGGGAGUGCACGGAGCAGAAAGCCGGGCCGCUGGAGGCUUUGCACCCAGCCCCUGGUCCGCAGGACUCCUCGGAGAACAGCAAAGCAGGGUGGUGCUGUGAAGCCCGGCCGCGGGGUUCAGAGAGCCAAGUGAGACUGAUGCUUUCAUCUUUGGAACAAGACUGUCCAAUAAGGAAGGAGGACAUUAGCCACCUCUCAUUCUGUAUAACUGGCCGUGGAUCCUACUCGAAGAUGAAAUUACAGCCAAAUUAUUUCAUGGAAAUCAAUGCAGGACAGAGCAGGCCAGGCUCUGGAGCCAAUGCCUGACAAAAGUCUGGCCCUUGGAGCAUCAGUCAGCUCCCUUCUAAAGGGGAAGGAAGUUGUAAGAGGAACAGGAACUUCACUGCCCACUGCCAAC
rnacentral:lncRNA from 1 species